AAUCCCGGAGAUCCCUCUCCGUCAUCCAGCUGAGGCGGGAAAUGGAGGAACAGACGUGGCUUACGAGUUCGAGUCCCAUUCCCGAAAAGGCUGUUUGUCAACCUCCUGAAUAGCAUAAUACAAAGUUUAAAUAGGGUAUGCCUUAGAAGGGAUUCGCGAGAGUCCCUGGCUUAGACUCGACUUUUAUGCUCUCUGGUUGUUCUGUUUGCCAAGGAAUGGUGGAAAGCGCCAGAUAUUGGGGCCACAAAGGGAAAACGAUACCAUUUUGGCUGGUUUUUAUUUAGGACAAACAGAACCCACUGCACACUACAGCAAGAGUAGCCAAGAUGUUGACCAUCUGAAACAAGGAGCCAUUUCGGUUUUACCAACUCAGACUGAGAUUGUGGCUGAGUUUGAUAAGUGCAGACUGCUAUUCUUUCUUAAGACCUCUCCCUUUGGAGCACAUUAAAAGUGGAGAGAACUGCUGUCACCUUGGUCCACGGUCUUCGGGAUCUUUCCAGGAGGUUUUCGAAUAGAUUAAGCCAGUCACUCCUACUGCUGACCUCUGCAGGACCGGCCUCCCUAGUGCCCUGCAGUGGGAUUCUUCGCCGAGCUGCAGUAACUGAAGAACACUGGCUUUCUCUGCUAGACUUGCCCUGCACCAUGGCACAGUCAGGCAGAGUCCUUGGUCAGGACAGACUGCCUGCAAGGCUACCAGGAUUUCUUUGGAACACUAAAACUUCCCUCUCCCAGUGGCUAGAGUCCAUAUGAUUCUGCUGGGGUCCAGAGUGGAAGGCCUACAAGCAGUGAUUCCCAACUCCAUUCUCUAAUUCCCCCAAAUUCCUUUCCGACACCCGCCCCCCAACAACAACAACCAAUCCUGUAAGUUUUGCUGAUCUCUUGCACCUGGCACCAUUGCCAGGUGAACCCCUGGGAACCAAGCCACUGCCCUUGGCAUCUGCCAACAUGUUUCAUUGUCUAUUUCCUCAGCUCUUUCAUAAUGAAAAAGGUAUGCUUCUUGUGCACCCCAACUCUUGCAGACCUCUCCUAAGAAAGCCCAGAGCCCCAGUUUGA